UCCGUCCCCUGGACGGCCGGUCCGGGGCGCUCACCGGGCGGCUGCCACUCGGGGGUUCAAAUCCCUUGGGAUGGAA
rnacentral:tRNA from 1 species